rnacentral:rRNA from 1 species
ACCCGCUGAAUUUAAGCAUAUAAGUAAGCGGAGGAAAAGAAACUCAAGAGGAUUCCCUUAGUAAUGGCGAAUGAACAGGGGUAAGCUCAGAGUGGAAAUCGGGGCCUUCUGGCUUCGAAUUGUGAUCUCGAGAUGUACAACCAGCAUGGGGUACAGGUAUAAGCCUUUUGGAAAAGAGCACCAGCGAGGGUGAGAGUCCCAUUCGUUACCUGUAAACCCCAGUGCAUGGUGUGCGUUCUAAGAGUCACGCUCCUCGGGAUUGGAGCGCAAAGUGGGUGGUAAAUUUCAUCUAAAGCUAAAUACGGGCCUGAGACCGAUAGCACACAAGUACCCUGAGGGAAAGGUGAAAAGGACUUUGGAAAGAGAGUUAAACAGAGCCUGCCAUUGCUGAAAGGGAAGCGAACGAAAUCAGUGUGACUGGGCGAGAUCGGGCCGUGCCAUGGUGAGCUUCUGCGAACUGGACGUGCGGCUCAUUUCUUGCCCUGUCGGUCAACAGUGCUGCAUGCGCGAGGAAAAGAGUAUUGGACUGUCAGCUUCGCCUACGGGUGGGUGAAUGCCUUUGCUACUACUUGCGCGUGUAGUGCCGCUUGGCUAUAUGGUUUCUUUCGACCCGUCUUGAAACACGGACCAAGGAGUCUAACAUAUGUGCGAGUUUGCAGGUGUUCAAACCUGUUAGCGCAAUGAAAGUGACUGCUAGAAAUUGUGCACUGGCAACCGACCAAUCGCUUGAGAAAGGUUUGAGUAUGAGCAUGUCUGUUAGGACCCGAAAGAUGGUGAACUAUGCCCGUGAAGGGCAAACUCAGGGGAAACUCUGAUGGAGGCCCGUAGCGAUACUGACGUGCAAAUCGUUCGUCAUACAUGGGUAUGGGGGCGAAAGACUAAUCGAACCAUCUAGUAGCUGGUUCCCUCCGAAGUUUCCCUCAGAUAGCUGGAGUUGACAGCAUUAUCAGUAAAGCGAAUGAU